rnacentral:rRNA from 1 species
CCUACGGGUGGCAGCAGUGAGGAAUAUUGGUCAAUGGACGAGAGUCUGAACCAGCCAAGUAGCGUGAAGGAUGACUGCCCUAUGGGUUGUAAACUUCUUUUAUAUGGGAAUAAAACGUUCCACGUGUGGGAUUUUGUAUGUACCAUAUGAAUAAGGAUCGGAUAACUCCGUGCCAGCAGCCGCGGUAAUACGGGGGAUCCGAGCGUUAUCCGGAUUUAUUGGGUUUAAAGGGAGCGUAGGUGGAUUGUUAAGUCAGUUGUGAAAGUUUGCGGCUCAACCGUAAAAUUGCAGUUGAAACUGGCAGUCUUGAGUACAGUAGAGGUGGGCGGAAUUCGUGGUGUAGCGGUGAAAUGCUUAGAUAUCACGAAGAACUCCGAUUGCGAAGGCAGUUCACUGGACUGCAACUGACACUGAGGUGCGAAAGUGUGGGUAUCAAACAGGAUUAGAUACCCCGGUAGUC